GGAUGAUAAUAGUUACACCGAGCAUGGUUUCGUAGUUAAAUUCAGACUGUAGAACAUCCGGUUUGAAUACAUGUGAUUUCUGACUUUUCGGAUAGCCAACUCUUGUUUUUUGGAACUUACGACUUAUGGCAAGAGAGAAGAAAACUGUGUGACGUUAAAAGAAAACCAGUGAGAUAAAAUCAUAGAAAAUGUAUGAUGAUUCAGGAUGUGGUCAUUUGUGACAUUAAAACAGGAAUUGUCAUCACCAAUAGACGAAUUUCACAUUCCUAAGAGUUUUCUCCAAUUGCCGGCGUAUCGCUCAUUUUUCCCACUUUGUCCUUUAUCCUGUUCUGUGGAUACCCUAAGACAGUGUCUACCCAUCACUCCAUUUGACCUUGGACAAAUUUUCUAGGUCAAAGAUCAUAGGUGAUGUGAAGAAAACCAGGAAACUGAUGUUGAAAGAAGUACUUAAUGACCCUUAUGAAUGGACUUAAAUGUGAAAGACUGUUCCAUUGUUUAUCUAAGAUAUAUGAAUUUAUUUAAUAUUUUGAUAUCAUUGAAAAAUUCAGUUACAGUUUUUGUACAUCAAAUGAAUUAUUAAACAUAUAAAAUGAUAA